rnacentral:rRNA from 1 species
CACAGUACCGGUGACAUAUCCUUCAAAUGUCUGACUUAUCAGCUGUCGAUGGUAGACUCUGUGUCUACCAUGGCGCUCACGGGUGACGGGGAAUCAGGGUUCGAUUCCGGAGAGGGAGCCUGAGAAACGGCUACCACAUCCAAGGAAGGCAGCAGGCACGCAAAUUACCCACUCCCGGCACGGGGAGGUAGUGACAAAAAAUAACGAUACGGGACUCAUCCGAGGCCCCGUAAUCGGAAUGAGAACACCCUAAAUCCUUUAACGAGGAUCUAUUGGAGGGCAAGUCUGGUGCCAGCAGCCGCGGUAAUUCCAGCUCCAAUAGCGUAUAUUAAAGUUGUUGCGGUUAAAAAGCU